AUAUUUAGCAACUUUUACCAAAGGGGGAACAGAUCAUACAAGUCAAAGGUAACCAGGGUCCUGCUAAAACCAGUGUAACGUCCAAAAAGAAGAAUUAACACUAUAUUACAUUUGAUGAUAGUUGCCCUGUAAGGUUAGGGGGUGCCUGCAUUCAAGAAUCUGUUGACUGUAAAUCUCAAAGCCUGUCUGAAGGUGAUGAGUUUUAG